CUCCCAUUUCUUCAUAGCUUUCCUCAUUCUCAUCUGCACCUAUACAUUACAAAGCAACUUUCUUGGUACAAAAUACUAUUUCCAUUUCUCAUUUGGUUGCUUGACAUAUCAAAUAAAAUAAAAGAAAGAAAAUACUUUAGCCAGAUUCUUACUAUUUUCUUCUUUAAUUUUUCAAUAUUCCUUGCUCCAAAACCAAACAGAAAAACAGAAGGAAAAGAGACUUACCUUUGGAGAUUGAAGGGUGCUUAAUUGCAGUCGAUGAUGACGGACCGUUCUUAUCAACACCAUCCAUUCUCAUAGCUCUGAAUGAAACAA
rnacentral:misc_RNA from 1 species